AGCUCUACUGCUCCAUGGGAUUUACCUCACUGAAGCAAACUGUCCUAAAUUAGUGGGCGGGGACAAAGGCAGAGCUGGAUAAGUCAGAAUCUUCUCUUAUGCACCAAUACCCUCCUUCCAUGUUGAGGAUCACGGGGGAGACAGGGAAUAUUGUUGGCCUCAAUGUCUUCAUGUCAUCAGACAAUAGGCGAAUGUCACCUUGGAAGAAUCCAAUCCUUCCUCCAUGACAGUAAACCACUGACUGUAGAAAGAAGAGCUUGGUGAAGGCUCUUUCCCGCAUCACAACAUACCCCCAUGCACUAAGUGAGGUUUGUGCAGAAUGGCUUUGCUAUGAUGGAUGUGGAAGAACUUGCCUGCCUGCAAAGAAAUCUGCCCUCAGCCCAACUGGAACACCAAAUGUGAGCCAGGUCUGAUUCCCGACAUCAGUGCCCAACCUUGUUAAUAUCUUGCAGCAGAAUGGAAGGAAAUCCCACCAACAAUUUUACAAUACUGGCCUUUAGGUUGGGGGGCAGGCAGUGGCAUCACUUGGGGUGGAGAAAUGGGCAGACUAGGCAGGGAAAUAGGUGUAUGAGGCAGAGCUGAAUGGAUUGGGGAAAUGGGCAGGUGACUGGGGGAAAUAGGCAGGGCAGAGGCUUACUUUAUUAUUUAAGGUGAUCAGAGACUGACACAGAACACUGUAAAUUGUGCCUCAAAGCAUUAUGUGUAAGAGGAGUAAUAUCUAUUAAUAUGGCAGUUUAAUAAGAUUCAUUAAUUGUUAAUGGUAACUUAUUAUGCAACAACAAAAAAGCUGCUGGUUCAGUAUUCAUUCUGGAGGAAAAGCACUAUUUAUUAGGUUUAUGAAGAGAAUUAGGUUAGGUGUAAUAUUCUCAUCAACCACUUGGUGACAGUGCAGAUCAUGUUUUUCAAUCUUGGGUAUUUAUUAUUUGUAGAUAAAUGAUAAAACACAUUUUGGGAGAAUCAAGCUUGUUAUCAUCAAGGGGCCAUUAUAUUUAUAAAAACAAAAACAGACAUUUAAAACAAAAUUUAAAAAAAUUGUGAAGCCUUUACUUUUUUGCACUUUUAUCAAUAUCCUCUCCCUAUGUUUCCAAGGUGACUGUCAAACACAGCUUGAAUGUUAUUUUUUUGCAAUUGUCAUUUGCCUAGACACAUGAUACAAAGCUAAGCCAAAGCUGUGGGUGGAACAGAGCAGAAAAGCUAAAGCAUCAAACACACAAGAUUCCAAUUAUUUACGCAAUUCCCUAGGGUGUUAGAAAGGCUACAGCCCCAUCUAUCAGGCAGCUGCAGGUCUUGAUGUUCACCUUGGGCCAAAGGUAUAAGCAUUUCUAGUAAUAAAGUACUUACCUGUGGUUCCACUGGUAAAACACACAAUAGAGAGAUCCUCUGGUGUGGGGGGCUAUAACAGAAAACAAUGAGGUUAUUCUAGAAAUCUGUGGAACUUGGAGAAUGCCAGUUUGCUCAGAUAAAGAGAUGCACAUAUACACUCAAAACAAGUCCUAGAACAAAUAAUGCCUUGUUAUGUGCCCAGAUGCUACACAGUGUUGAUAAAUUACCCCACAGACCUUAAUACGUUGCUGGAAAUGUGACUCAUAAACAGUCAAAGUAUAAAAAAAAAUUGUCUUCAUAAUAUAAAAAUAGCAAAUCUUUGUGCCAAACCCAUUGAAGCAAGAAGCUCAUGAACAAUUUAAUAGUGUUUUUUCAAGAGCAUUGAAAUCAAAGAGAAGCACAUUUAAUGGGCACAGCUAAUAAAUAAUGCAUGCCUACUAAAUAUCAACA